rnacentral:rRNA from 2 species
GACAGAGGUGCCAAGCGUUAGGCGGAAUCACUGGGCUUAAAGCGUGUGUAGGCGGGCGGGCAAGUACCUUGUGAAAUCCCACGGCUCAACCGUGGAACGGCUGGGUAUACUGCCUGUCUUGAGCCAGCUAGGGGCGACCGGAACAGACGGUGGAGCGGUGAAAUGCGUAGAUAUCGUCUGGAACGCCAAAGGUGAAAACAGGUCGCUGGGGCUGAGCUGACGCUGAGACACGAAAGCCAGGGGAGCGAACGGG